UCGACGGUGGAUGGCUUGACUUCUUGCCAGUUACCCAUUUCCGAGUGGUCAUGUGGUGAUCGGGGGAACCGGGAUCAGCUUACUCUACCUGAGUUCUGCCCGAGAGACACUUCUCCCCGACUACAUACCUGCUAGGUCUGCAUUGACCUGGGUUGCCUACCUUCCAAGUGGGCCACUUAUGUCAAGAAACUUACCACCACCAGAAAGCUUCCCACCCAAUGAUGAGGCAAGAAAAACUUGGCAUCUAAUAGCAAGUUUACUGAAAUUACCCGAUGCAAGUAUUUGAAAACCUUGUUCCUUACUUCUUGGAUAACAAAAGAUUUAAUACUUUUGUGGCUGUGACUACUGUGAUGAAUGGUACCAUGGAGAUUGCAUAGGUCAUUAUUGUGGAGACCAAACAAUUAUUAUACUUUAAAAUGUGUUUUAUUUGACUUUGCAUAGAUAUUGCUGAGGAGAAAUCCCACUUUGUUGAAAGAUUUUGCUGUCCAUCAAAUAUAAAUCUGUAUUCCUUUUGUAAUUCUAACAACAGAUCGGUACAACACGAGAAAUGCAUGGAAAUGGAUACUAUAACUUAACUGACAAAUUCCAACAGAAAAAAUUGGAACAGGUAGCCAAGAAAGAAUUGGUAAGAAAGCAAAUAAAAACCACAGAAAUAAAAUAGGCCUACUUUAAAAUACUCCCACUAUAGUAAAUGCACUGCUUGUUAUCAUGUAGAUAACUGCAAAAAGUAUGACUCUUGUUGAAGAAAACUGCAUCAGUAGUGCAAGUUCAACCAAGACUCACUUCUGUUUUCAAGCUGUCUUGAAUUAAAUUUUGUUGUGCCAAACAUACUCUUAUUACCUGAAUCUCAUUUGGCAGAGAAUGUAGUAGAAGAGCUGUAAAACUGCUCUUAAAUUGACAGAAGCAGUCAUGGAAACCGGUUCUAUGACUGACAGAAACUUUGGGUCUACGUCCACAAGCAACGUUGCAACACGUUUCAAAAUUGACGGUGAAUUUCAACUUGCGAAAAUCGGUUCAUUCGGUUGAGAAAAUAAUUAUGACAUUACAUUUUUGUUUUCUCUUACGCAGCACAUACUAUGCAAAAAUUAAAUAAAAACAAGGAGAUGGCUGGUUGUCUUUCGGGUUUACAAUGGUAAGUCUUGUAUUGUUGGUAAAGAUAAAUUCGAGUUAUGUUGCGGCUCUCGUGCAGUAGAUCCUCCAACAUCCAAAUAUUUGUAACACACACACAACACAAUCCAUGCCAAUUGUGAAAUACUUAACCAACCGUACCAAAAUCUGUAUUUCUUCAAAAUUGCUUGGGCGUCGCUAAGAAUGAAAAUUGGACACAAAUUUAAAGAAGCAAAAUGAUAAUCAAGUGAGCCUCAACGCAUUGAUAGGAAUACGUAAUGAAGCCAACUUGGGGGAAAAGGUACAGAAGUAAACCCAAAAGCAGAAUAGAAUCCGAUAUGUGAACAAAUUAUUCAAUGGUAAAAAUAAUGGGUAAAACAAAAAAGAAAAUAAAAUAGAGAAUAAAAAAAAAAAAAAAUAAUAAA